CCUACGGGAGGCAGCAGUGGGGAAUAUUGGACAAUGGGCGAAAGCCUGAUCCAGCAAUGCCGCGUGAGUGAUGAAGGCCUUAGGGUUGUAAAGCUCUUUUACCAGGGAUGAUAAUGACAGUACCUGGAGAAUAAGCUCCGGCUAACUCCGUGCCAGCAGCCGCGGUAAUACGGAGGGAGCUAGCGUUGUUCGGAAUUACUGGGCGUAAAGCGUACGUAGGCGGUUAUUCAAGUCAGAGGUGAAAGCCUGGAGCUCAACUCCAGAACUGCCUUUGAAACUAGAUAGCUAGAAUCACGGAGAGGUUAGUGGAAUUCCGAGUGUAGAGGUGAAAUUCGUAGAUAUUCGGAAGAACACCAGUGGCGAAGGCGACUAACUGGACGUGUAUUGACGCUGAGGUACGAAAGCGUGGGGAGCAAACAGGAUUAGAUACCCUGGUAGUCCACGCCGUAAACGAUGAUAACUAGCUGUUCGGUCUCUACGAGACUGAGUGGCGCAGCUAACGCAUUAAGUUAUCCGCCUGGGGAGUACGGUCGCAAGAUUAAAACUUAAAGGAAUUGACGG
rnacentral:rRNA from 1 species